rnacentral:sRNA from 1 species
CCAAUAGCGUAUAUUAAAGUUGUUGCAGUUAAAAAGCUCGUAGUUGAAUUUCGGGAUCAAUUUGUUGGUCGUGCCUCGGUACGUACUGGCAUUAUUGGUUUCUACCUUCUGAAGAACCUUGAUGUCAUUAAUUUGGUGUCUUGGGGAAUCAGGACUGUUACUUUGAAAAAAUUAGAGUGUUUAAAGCAGGCAUACGCUUGAAUACAUUAGCAUGGAAUAAUGAAAUAGGACGUUUGAUUCUAUUUUGUUGGUUUCUAGGAUCGACGUAAUGAUUAAUAGGGAUAGUUGGGGGCAUUAGUAUUCAAUUGUCAGAGGUGAAAUUCUUGGAUUUAUUGAAGACUAACUACUGCGAAAGCAUUUGCCAAGGAUGUUUUCAUUAAUCAAGAACGAAAGUUAGGGGAUCGAAGACGAUCAGAUACCGUCGUAGUCUUAACCAUAAACUAUGCCGACUAGGGAUCGGAUGAUGUUAUUUUUAAUGACUCAUUCGGCGCCUUACG